AGCGAACGCUGGCGGCAGGCCUAACACAUGCAAGUCGAACGGAUCCUUCGGGAUUAGUGGCGGACGGGUGAGUAACACGUGGGAACGUGCCCUUUGGUUCGGAACAACUCAGGGAAACUUGAGCUAAUACCGGAUGUGCCCUUAGGGGGAAAGAUUUAUCGCCAUUGGAGCGGCCCGCGUCUGAUUAGCUAGUUGGUGAGGUAAAGACUCACCAAGGCGACGAGCAGUAGCUGGUCUGAGAGGAUGAUCAGCCACAUUGGGACUGAGACACGGCCCAAACUCCUACGGGAGGCAGCAGUGGGGAAUCUUGCGCAAUGGGCGAAAGCCUGACGCAGCCAUGCCGCGUGGAUGAUGAAGGUCUUAGGAUUGUAAAAUUCUUUCACCGGGGACGAUAAUGACGGUACCCGGAGAAGAGGCCCCGGCUAACUUCGUGCCAGCCGCCGCCGUAAGAC
rnacentral:rRNA from 1 species